CUAACAUUUUCUCUCUCCUCACUCAAUUUCUCUCUCCCUCACUCACGUCAAUCUCUUUCUCCUCAAUGAAUUUGCUUGAAAAUACACUUGAAAAACCGAAAAUUAUAUCGUAAUUUCGCGAAGAUUGCAAAGAUUUUGAGAACUUUCAGCUUGAAAAUUGCAUUUUCUGGUGCCGGAGCUUCGAUUUUUCCGGGGACUGAACUACUAAGGUGUUUUCUCUCCUCUCUUUGUUUACUUUUGAAUAUGAUUGUGAGUUGAUAGUCAAUUUUAGCUUGAUUUUACUGAUUUUUGGAGCAAAUUCAGUCGAAAUCAAUUUCUAGGUAUAAGGCUUGAUCGAGUUUUAUGUGUUUUAUGCUUCAUUGAGUUUUAGGUACCUUAUUCAACUUUAAAUUAUCACUCAGCUUCUAAUUUAGCAGAGUUAUUCAAAUCUGAAUAAAGUAAACUAACAUCUCUUAAAAGUAAACUAAUAUCUCUGAAAUAUGAAGACACUGCAGUCUAGGGCCCUUGACAGAUCCAACUUAUUGAUGUAACCUUUUCCGAAAUGUUAGGAGAGUUAACCAGUGGUAAUAAUACACUGUGCUGUUAAAGAAAUCAGUCUUGGAAACUAGCUAGCAAAACCUGUACAGAGGAAAGCGAUAAAGAAUAGCAAAUACACCUCACAAACAGUCUGCUAAUCGUUGCUCAAACACCCUGCAAUUUGAACUUUUCCUUUCUAUAAGGUUGUGUGCUUAUCAUCUGCAGGUCUGCAACUCUAUGGUCCUAGGAACUAUAAAUAAAUACGGGCAGUUGAUAUCAUCUAUGAUUUAAGUUGACUUUUAAAUUAGUUCCAUUUACUUUUCUGAGUUGUUUAUCUACUUUUGAAAAUGUGAUACAACUUGAGAUUUUGUUUAUGAGAUUUACUUUUAAAUUAGUUCCAUUUACUUUUCAGAGUUAUUUAUCUACUUUUGAAAAUGUGAUGUGUGUGUUGUUAUUUACCAUGUGUUACUAGACGAGAUAGGCUCUUCACCAGAUGAUCUGCAAGAGUUGGUUCACCCUUUAUACUAUGUGUGCCAGAGAAGCACCACAUUUGUAUCAAUAGUUGCACCAAUUCGAUAUGCUCACCUAGCAGCCAGCCAAGUAUCACAGUUCCUCAAGUAUGAGGACCUAUAAGAAAUAUCAUCAGGUCAUGGAUGUGUGACAUCUGCUGGAAGUCUUCCUGUGCCUGAGCUCCCCAAGCUGCAUGACAGAAUGAACCUGGUAAGCAAGUUAGGAGUGCUAAAAAGAUUAGAAAUACAAGCAAGUCUCAUGUAGCUUUCAAGGAGCUAUUCUGCACUUGUGAUUCAAGCUGUUUCGUGAUUUCACUCCAAAGUUUCUCAAAGAUAUAGGUAAGAUUUCUAGAUUUUAAUUUCUGUAAAAUUUUUCUUUGAGCUUGAUUCACAUAGUGCUUGAAUAUAAUAUAAUGUAUGUUUCUCAUAUGAUUAUCUGAUUGAACUUAUGAUCGGUUUUAAGCUUCAUAGAAGUGAAUCAAUUAGCUACACAAAUGUGUUAAAAGUAAACCAAUUUUUUGCAAAAGUAAACUAAAACUUAAUAAUAUUAUCAAAUUUUAUUUUUAAAAGUAAAGUAGUUAGUCUCAAAAGUAAAUAAAUAUUAGUAAAAGUAGAUUAAUUAAACUAGCUUAAAGUAAAUAUUCUAAAUUAUAUAAGUGUCUGUGCAACAACUCUUUUACUCCUAUACUUGGCUUGAUACUUAUUUUCUUAAUGUUAUCACAGUUUGCAAGAGGAAAUAAGUUAGCCUAAUUAUUGUGAGUUGCUGCCUCUGGUGCUUUUUCUCCUCUGGUGCUUUUUUUGUUAUAGGUCAACUAUGCCAGAGUUGACAUUUUGAUUUGCAGAGCUUGUGAAUAAAUUAGCUAGUUAAAGACUUAAAGUAAAUAAUUAGGAGUAGGUGUUGCACUUAGUGAUCUCACAUGUUAUCUAACUCAAAAGUAAAGCAAAAACUGAAAAAAAAAAAGAAUAAAAAUGAUACAAAAGUAAAUAAAAUAUAUCCAUGUUCUGGUUGUUAGGUACUGUAGGUCAUGUGACGCAAGUUGAUUAGGUUGACUUUGUGCUAUUAGUUUCUAUUUCAGUCAGGCUGCUGGCUAGUUGUUGGCCUUAGUUGACUAGGGAUGGUGCACAAUCUGUUGUUGGUCUACAGAGGUUGUAGACCAUGUAUGUGGAUGGCUAAACCUCUUCCCUCCUGCACAGUGCAGUAGCACAUUUUGCUGUUCUUUUUGUUGAUGCUGGUGCAGGCUUUCCUAAUGUGGUUGCAGACCAAUUGUUGAUCUCUUACUUUCACAUGUCUUACAUUGCUCUUAACUUGGUACCUUGGGAAUGACUUGGGCUAAAAAAAAUUAACCCUUUUCGUUCUCCGUCUCUCUAUUCUUGAGAAGGCAGCUAGUGGGUUAGGGACUUUAGGCUUUAUCUGGGCAAUUGUGGUUCUUCUUGGCGGGUUUGCUAUAACUUUAGCUAAAUCAGAUUUUUGGAUUACAACAAUCACACUGUUGACUGAAGUAACAAUGAUUUUUAGUAGAUGCCAUGACUCGAGUGGCAGCGCCAAUCCACAUGGUCGCUUACAGGUGCUAGGAUAAACAAUUUCCUACUACUGAAAUCGGGCUCCAUUAAAAUCUGGACCGCACUUAGUUCAGUCUUCAGAGCUCGGAGUUUAGAUGGCAGGCGAAUAAAUGCUAGCAGAGGAGAAAGUAAACUAAAUCUCUCUGAAAGUAAACUAAAUCUCUGUAAAAGUAAACAAAAUGAUAAUGGAACUUUGGUUGUAAUUUUUUUCUUAAAUAUU